rnacentral:rRNA from 1 species
CCUACGGGUGGCAGCAGUAGGGAAUAUUGCUCAAUGGGGGAAACCCUGAAGCAGCAACGCCGCGUGGAGGAUGAAGGUUUUCGGAUUGUAAACUCCUUUUGUUUGAGAAGUUAAUUACGGUAUCUAAAGAAUUAUCACCGGCUCACUCCGUUCCAGCAGCCGCGGUAAUACGGCGGGUUCAAGCGUUCCUCGGACUCACUGGGCGUCAACAGCGCGGAGGCGGGAUAGCAAGUCAGAGGUGAAAUCCUAUGGCUUAACCAUAGAACUGCGGUUGAAACUGUUAUUCUAGAGUAUGGGAGAGGUAGGUGGAAUUCGUGGUGUAGGGGUAAAAUGCGUAGAGAUCAAGAGGAAUACUGAUUGCGAAGGCGACCUGCGAGAACAUAACUGACGCUGAUGCGCGAAAGCGUGGGGAGCGAACAGGAUUAGAUAC